rnacentral:tRNA from 1 species
GCUGGAAUGGUCUGGUUGUUGUGACGACUGCCUAACACGCGGUAGGUGUCGAGUUCGAUUCUCGGUUCUAGUA